GGGUUGUGAGGUUAAGCGACUAAGCGUACACGGUGGAUGCCCUGGCAGUCAGAGGCGAUGAAGGACGUGCUAAUCUGCGAAAAGCGUCGGUAAGGUGAUAUGAACCGUUAUAACCGGCGAUGUCCGAAUGGGGAAACCCAGUGCAAUUCGUUGCACUAUCGUUAACUGAAUACAUAGGUUAACGAGGCGAACCGGGGGAACUGAAACAUCUAAGUACCCCGAGGAAAAGAAAUCAACCGAGAUUCCCCCAGUAGCGGCGAGCGAACGGGGAGCAGCCCAGAGUCUGAAUCAGCUUGUGUGUUAGUGGAACGGUCUGGAAAGUCCGACGGUACAGGGUGAUAGUCCCGUACACCAAAAUGCACAGGUUGUGAACUCGAAGAGUAGGGCGGGACACGUGGUAUCCUGUCUGAAUAUGGGGGGACCAUCCUCCAAGGCUAAAUACUCCUGACUGACCGAUAGUGAACCAGUACCGUGAGGGAAAGGCGAAAAGAACCCCGGCGAGGGGAGUGAAAAAGAACCUGAAACCGUGUACGUACAAGCAGUGGGAGCACCUUCGGGUGUGACUGCGUACCUUUUGUAUAAUGGGUCAGCGACUUAUAUUCUGUAGCAAGGUUAACCGUAUAGGGGAGCCGCAGGGAAACCGAGUCUUAACUGGGCGUUAAGUUGCAGGGUAUAGACCCGAAACCCGGUGAUCUAGCCAUGGGCAGGUUGAAGGUUGGGUAACACUAACUGGAGGACCGAACCGACUAAUGUUGAAAAAUUAGCGGAUGACUUGUGGCUGGGGGUGAAAGGCCAAUCAAACCGGGAGAUAGCUGGUUCUCCCCGAAAGCUAUUUAGGUAGCGCCUCGUGAAUUCAUCUUCGGGGGUAGAGCACUGUUUCGGCUAGGGGGUCAUCCCGACUUACCAACCCGAUGCAAACUACGAAUACCGAAGAAUGUUAUCACGGGAGACACACGGCGGGUGCUAACGUCCGUCGUGAAGAGGGAAACAACCCAGACCGCCAGCUAAGGUCCCAAAGUCAUGGUUAAGUGGGAAACGAUGUGGGAAGGCACAGACAGCCAGGAUGUUGGCUUAGAAGCAGCCAUCAUUUAAAGAAAGCGUAAUAGCUCACUGGUCGAGUCGGCCUGCGCGGAAGAUGUAACGGGGCUAAACCAUGCACCGAAGCUGCGGCAGCGACGCUUAUGCGUUGUUGGGUAGGGGAGCGUUCUGUAAGCCUGCGAAGGUGACCUGUGAGGGUUGCUGGAGGUAUCAGAAGUGCGAAUGCUGACAUAAGUAACGAUAAAGCGGGUGAAAAGCCCGCUCGCCGGAAGACCAAGGGUUCCUGUCCAACGUUAAUCGGGGCAGGGUGAGUCGACCCCUAAGGCGAGGCCGAAAGGCGUAGUCGAUGGGAAACAGGUUAAUAUUCCUGUACUUGGUGUUACUGCGAAGGGGGGACGGAGAAGGCUAUGUUAGCCGGGCGACGGUUGUCCCGGUUUAAGCAUGUAGGCUGGUUGUCCAGGCAAAUCCGGAUAAUCAAGGCUGAGGUGUGAUGACGAGGCACUACGGUGCUGAAGUAACAAAUGCCCUGCUUCCAGGAAAAGCCUCUAAGCAUCAGGUAACAUCAAAUCGUACCCCAAACCGACACAGGUGGUCAGGUAGAGAAUACCAAGGCGCUUGAGAGAACUCGGGUGAAGGAACUAGGCAAAAUGGUGCCGUAACUUCGGGAGAAGGCACGCUGGUGUGUAGGUGAAGUCCCUGCGGAUGGAGCUGAGACCAGUCGAAGAUACCAGCUGGCUGCAACUGUUUAUUAAAAACACAGCACUGUGCAAACACGAAAGUGGACGUAUACGGUGUGACGCCUGCCCGGUGCCGGAAGGUUAAUUGAUGGGGUUAUCCGUAAGGAGAAGCUCUUGAUCGAAGCCCCGGUAAACGGCGGCCGUAACUAUAACGGUCCUAAGGUAGCGAAAUUCCUUGUCGGGUAAGUUCCGACCUGCACGAAUGGCGUAAUGAUGGCCAGGCUGUCUCCACCCGAGACUCAGUGAAAUUGAACUCGCUGUGAAGAUGCAGUGUACCCGCGGCAAGACGGAAAGACCCCGUGAACCUUUACUAUAGCUUGACACUGAACAUUGAGCCUUGAUGUGUAGGAUAGGUGGGAGGCUUUGAAGCGUGGACGCCAGUCUGCGUGGAGCCAACCUUGAAAUACCACCCUUUAAUGUUUGAUGUUCUAACGUUGGCCCCUUACCGGGGUUGCGGACAGUGUCUGGUGGGUAGUUUGACUGGGGCGGUCUCCUCCCAAAGCGUAACGGAGGAGCACGAAGGUUAGCUAAUCCUGGUCGGACAUCAGGAGGUUAGUGCAAUGGCAUAAGCUAGCUUGACUGCGAGCGUGACGGCGCGAGCAGGUGCGAAAGCAGGUCAUAGUGAUCCGGUGGUUCUGAAUGGAAGGGCCAUCGCUCAACGGAUAAAAGGUACUCCGGGGAUAACAGGCUGAUACCGCCCAAGAGUUCAUAUCGACGGCGGUGUUUGGCACCUCGAUGUCGGCUCAUCACAUCCUGGGGCUGAAGUAGGUCCCAAGGGUAUGGCUGUUCGCCAUUUAAAGUGGUACGCGAGCUGGGUUUAGAACGUCGUGAGACAGUUCGGUCCCUAUCUGCCGUGGGCGCUGGAGAAUUGAGGGGGGCUGCUCCUAGUACGAGAGGACCGGAGUGGACGCAUCACUGGUGUUCGGGUUGUCAUGCCAAUGGCACUGCCCGGUAGCUAAAUGCGGAAGAGAUAAGUGCUGAAAGCAUCUAAGCACGAAACUUGCCCCGAGAUGAGUUCUCCCUGAGACUUUAAGUCUCCUGAAGGAACGUUAAAGACGAUGACGUUGAUAGGCCGGGUGUGUAAGCGCAGCGAUGCGUUGAGCUAACCGGUACUAAUGAACCGUGAGGCUUAACCUUACAACGCCGAAG
rnacentral:rRNA from 1 species